rnacentral:sRNA from 1 species
AAACGCUCGCAUGCGGCGGUUCCUGAGCACCGUCCACGCCCACCUGAAGACGGCUCGCGACGUUGCGGUA